rnacentral:rRNA from 1 species
UGGGGAAUAUUGGACAAUGGGGGCAACCCUGAUCCGGCCAUGCCGCGUGAGUGAUGAAGGCCUUAGGGUUGUAAAGCUCUUUCGCCCGCGAAGAUGAUGACGGUAGCGGGAGAAGAAGCCCCGGCUAACUCCGUGCCAGCAGCCGCGGUAAUACGGAGGGGGCGAGCGUUGUUCGGAAUUACUGGGUGUAAAGGGCGCGUAGGCGGCUUAUCAAGUCAGGGGUGAAAGGCCUGGGCUCAACCUGGGAACUGCCUUUGAAACUGGUAGGCUUGAGUCCGGGAGAGGUGAGCGGAAUUCCCAGUGUAGAGGUGAAAUUCGUAGAUAUUGGGAAGAACACCGGUGGCGAAGGCGGCUCACUGGACCGGCACUGACGCUGAGGCGCGAAAGCGUGGGGAGCAAACAGGAUUAGAUACCCCCGUAGUCC